UAUAUAAUACAUAUACAUAUGAUUUUGCCACUUGCUCUUUUUAUUCAAAAUAUAACAAAUUUAACUUAAAAAGCAGGCCUUACAUUAACAAUGACCAUUUAAAAGGUCCAAUAAAGAAAGGUAAGAAAGAUUCUAAAGUUUUGCUGCUAUUAAACUCUUUCAAGAAGUAUCAGAGCAGCUCAUUUGGGUUAAACCACAAAAAUGCACAUGUAUACAUGUUAUCAAAAAUGUUACUUCACAAUGUGUACUAUGAAGUACUGGGCUGUUGCAUGAUACCAAGUUAUUCUCAACAAAUAGUAAAAUCUUCUUUGGGUAUGGGUACUGCACUUUCAUUUUUUAACUCUAAGCCAAGUAGAUUGUUGAGAGAGGAAAAAGUAAAUGUCACUUGUCUAGAAAUGGCUAAAUAAAAAGAUAAAUGUGAAUUACACAGCAUUCAUAGAUAUAACAAAUUUACAAAUAAA